rnacentral:rRNA from 1 species
UGGGGAAUAUUGCACAAUGGGCGCAAGCCUGAUGCAGCGACGCCGCGUGAAGGAUGAAGUAUUUCGGUAUGUAAACUUCUAUCAGCAGGGAAGAAAACGACGGUACCUGACUAAGAAGCCCCGGCUAACUACGUGCCAGCAGCCGCGGUAAUACGUAGGGGGCAAGCGUUAUCCGGAUUUACUGGGUGUAAAGGGAGCGUAGAUGGCACUGCAAGUCUGAAGUGAAAGCCCGGGGCUUAACCCCGGGACUGCUUUGGAAACUGUGGAGCUAGAGUGCAGGAGAGGUAAGCGGAAUUCCUAGUGUAGCGGUGAAAUGCGUAGAUAUUAGGAGGAACACCGGUGGCGAAGGCGGCUUACUGGACUGUAACUGACAUUGAGGCUCGAAAGCGUGGGGAGCAAACAGG